rnacentral:lncRNA from 1 species
UGGAAUAUAUGCGGAUAUUGAGCUGCACAUAAAAUAGAUGAGACACAGCUUUUAACGAGGUUCGGCUAUGCCUACGUCCUCGGAGAGCAGCAGCAGUAACCUUUCACUAUAAAAUGAUAUGGCUACAACUUUAGUGUUUACAACAUAUGUGGCUCACUGAAUUUUCUCUCUAGGAGAAUUUCUCUCUGCUUUCUCUUCUCUCUUUUCUUUUUCUUAUUUUCUUAUUUUUUCUUUCUCUGAUGGUGGUCUUAUUUAUAGGCUGAAAUAAUCACUAUUCACUAUUCACCCGUGACAGACAAACUCUACCAAAGUCUCUAAAUGAAUAGUAAUGUCACUAUUCACCCGUGACAGACAAACUCUACCAAAGUCUCCAAAUGAAUAGUAAUGAAUAGUUAGUGGGCUGCACACCAAGACUUUUACAACACUCCCCCUUGGAGACCACAUGUCCCUAGAUUGGUUGACUCAUUAAAACCUGGCUUGGAAAAACCCAGUGGGAAAAUCUAAGCGAAGGAAAAAGAGUACAACGUGCAUAUGUCCUAUGUUAGAGGACUCUUGAAUGCUCCCCCUGAUUUUGCAUGCUCCAACUUGAUUGCUUGCAGAGUUGUCGUAAUCCGAUGCCAUGCACUAACUUUUGGAAUGUACAUUUCGGCAAUGAUUUAGUGAAGAGAUCUGCCAGGUUAUCACUUGAGCGGAUUUGUCUGACUUUGAUUUCUUGACUCUUCUGGAGCUCAUGUGUAUAGAAAAACUUUGGUGAUAUGUGUUUGGUCCUGUCACCCUUGAUAUAUCCUCCUGUGAUCUGAGCAAUACAAGCUGCAUUGUCCUCAUUCAGAAUUGUUAGAGUGUCUGUUGUUGAGGGUAGGGCACAUGUGCUUCGGAUGUGAUGGAUUACCGACCUUAACCAAACGCAUUCACGACUGGCUUCAUGGAGGGCAAGUAUUUCUGAGUGAUUGGAAGAUGUGGCCACUAAUGUUUGUUUUGUUGAGCGCCAUGAGAUCGCAAUUCCUCCACAUGUAAAUACAUACCCAGUCUGUGAUCGUCCUUGAUGUGGAUCAGAGAGAUAUCCUGCAUCAGCAUAACCAAUAAUACUCUGGGCGUUGGUCGAUUCACUGGAAUAGAAUAACCCCAUGUCUGUUGUCCCACGAAGGUAUCGUAGAACAUGUUUGAUGCCGGUCCAGUGUCGCCUUGUUGGAGCAGAACUGUACCUUGCUAACAGAUUUACUGAGAAUGAUAUGUCUGGUCUGGUACAUUGUGCUAGGUACAAUAAAGCACCUAUUGCACUAAGAUAUGGUACUUCUGGACCAAGGACCAUUUCAUCAUUCCCUUUUGGACGAUAUGGGUCUUUCUUAGUGUCAAGCGAUCGAACGACCAUUGGAGUGCUAAGUGGAUGGGCUUUAUCCAUGCCAAACCGUUUCAAUACUUUCUCAGUAUAAGUUGAUUGAUGCACCAAAAUUCCAUUAGCACUGUGUUCAAUCUGCAAGCCAAGACAAUAUUUUGUCUUUCCAAGGUCCUUCAUCUCAAACUCACGUUUGAGAUAAUCAACAGUCUUUUGAAGCUCUGCAGAAGUUCCAAUUAGAUUCAUGUCGUUGACAUAUACUGCCACUAUCGCAAAUCCAGACUUUGAUUUCUUAAUAAACACACAUGGGCAAACAGGAUCAUUUGUGUAUCCUUCCUUCAGUAAAUACUCACUGAGACGAUUGUACCACAUUCGUCCAGAUUGUUUUAGCCCAUAUAAUGAUCUUCUCAAUUUAACUGAGAACAUGCCCCGUGGUUUGUUUCUGGCUGCUUCAGGCAACCUGAAUCCUUCUGGAACUUUCAUGUAUAUAUCUGUAUCCAAUUCUCCAUACAAAUAUGCGGUAAUGACAUCCAUGAGUCUCAUUUCAAGUUUUUCUGAAACCGCCAAACUUAUUAGGUAACGGAAUGUAAUUGUGUCCAUUACUGGAGAGUAUGUUUCCACAUAAUCAAUUCCAGGCCUUUGUGAAAAACCUUGCGCAACGAGUCGCGCUUUAUACCUUGAGAUCUCAUUUUUCUCAUUGCGCUUUCUUGUAAAUACCCACUUGUAACCUACAGGGUUCACAUUGGGUGGAGUUGGACUAAUAUGUCCAAAAACACUCCUCUUUUCCAAAGAAUUUAAUUCUGCCUGGAUUGCAUCCUUCCACUUGGGCCAAUCUUGCCUCUGUGUACUCAUUAAUAGAGCGCGGUUCAAUAUCAUCAUCUUUUAUGAUUUCAGCAGCCACUGAGAAUGCAAAUAUAUCAUCGAUGAUCAUCUCAUUUCUACUCCACAAUUCAUUAGUGGACGUAUAAUUUAUGGAGAUUUCUUGACUUUCAGGUACGGUUGCCACUCCAGGGGCACUUGUCUCACCAAUGACGUUUUCCUUAUCAAGAAGUACCUGUCCCUCUUUGGGGGCAUUUGAAUUAUGAAUUGUGGGCUCUCUAUUUAUUUCAUUUGGAUUCAUUUUGUCCAUCAACUUCCUCUUUCGAGGAACUGAAUCCUUUGAGCCUAGUGGUCUGCCACGUUUUAGGCGUGCAGCAGAUGAACCAUUUGCUGGCACAGUGCUUUGUCCAUUAUGGACAUCAAUCCGUGCGGGUGCAUUUGCAGCUGGGAUAUGAGAUUUCGUCACCUUUGCUGCAUCAUUAAAUGCAUCUGGCAUCUGAUUUGCAAUACUUUGGAGGUGAACGAUCCUUCUCACUUCGUUUUCGCAUUGAGCAGUAUGAGGAUCGAGAUGAGACAAUAUGGAUACAUUCCAGGAUAAUUCAUGUCGUUUUUCAGGAAUGAGUUUGCCUUGUUCUUUAGACACAGAUUUUUCUCCCCCUAAUGGUGGGAAGAUUGUCUCAUCAAAAUCACAAUCCGCAAAUCGUGCGGUAAAAAUAUCACCCGUCAGGGGUUCCAAGUAUCUGAUGAUAGAUGGUGAAUAAACACCAACAUAAAUUCCCAAUCUGCGUUGAGGGCCCAUCUUAGUACGUUGCGAUAGUGCAAUAGGCACAUAUACCGCACACCCAAAAAUUCUUAAAUGUGAAAUGUUUGGUUGAUUUCCCAAUACGAGUUGUAUUGGAGAAACUUGAUUAUUGGCGACGGGCCUCAAUCGCACAAGCGAUGCUGCAUGUAAAAUGGCAUAUCCCCAAGCAGAAACUGGCAACUUUGUUUUCAUUAGCAAAGUGCGUGUUAUCAAUUGAAGGCGUUUAAUUAAAGCUUCUGCCAAGCCAUUUUGAGUAUGCACAUGGGGAACAGGAUGUUCAAUAUCAAUGCCUAGUGACAUGCAGUAGUCAUCAAAAGUCUGAGAUGUAAAUUCACCAGCAUUAUCGAGUCUGAUUGACUUAAUGGGAUAAUCUGGGAAUUGAGCUCGUAAUUUAAUUAUCUAAGCCAAAAGCCUAGUAAAUGUCAUAUUCCGAGUAGAUAAAAGACAAACAUGUGACCAUCGGGUAGAUGCGUCCACCAAGACCAUAAAGUACCGAAAUGGUCCACAUGGGGGAUGAAUGGGUCCACAAAUGUCCCCUUGAAUUCUCUGCAAAAAUGAUGGAGACUCAACAUCAACCUUUGGUUGUGAUGGUUUGAUCACCAACUUCCCUUGUGAACAAUCUUGGCAAAAGAUGUCGCUUGAUAACAUAAUGUGUUUAGUCAACAAGGGAUGUCCUUUAGAGUUGGUGAUGAUCCUGCGCAUCAUGGUGGAUCCAGGAUGACCCAAUCUGUCAUGUCAAAGCUUAAAAGCAUUUGAGUCAGUAGACUCUUGGUCCAUGACACUAUGUGCCUCAAUUGUCCGUAUGGUUGUGUAAUACAACCCUGAUGAGAGCUCACAAAGCUUUUCCAGUAUACGCUUUUGGGUAUCACUGGAGGUAAUACAAAGAUAUUCCAUGUGUUCCUCUUUCUUUGUUUCAACAUGGUAGCCAUUCAAACGUAUAUCUUUGAAACUCAACAGAUUCCUUCUGGAGUUAGAUGAAUAUAAAGCAUCUGGAAUGGACAAUAUUGUUCCAUUCGGUAACAUAAUAUGGGCUAUUCCUGAACCUUCGAUCAGAUCUGCAGGACCUGAUAUGGUUGUUACCUUUGCUUUUGUAAGUAUUAAUUUUGAGAAAUACUUCCAAUCUAGAAGAAUCGUAUGAGUAGUUGCGCCGCCUGCGAGACAAAUAUCUCUGCCAUAGCCUUUGUUUUGAGGGCAUCCAUAAUUUACAUCCAUGCCACCAAAUAAGUAAAAUGAGCUGGAAUACUAAAGAAGACAACAUUACCACUUUUAUUUAAACAACACUUCAGCUAAUACAAAUAGAUCCACUAACUAUUCAUUACUAUUCAUUUGGAGACUUUGGUAGAGUUUGUCUGUCACGGGUGAAUAGUGACAUUACUAUUCAUUUGGAGACUUUGGUAGAGUUUGUCUGUCACGGGUGAAUAGUGAAUAGUGAUUAUUUCAGCCUAUAAAUAAGACCACCAUCAGAGAAAGAAAAAAUAAGAAAAGAAGAAAAAGAAAAGAGAGAAGAGAAAGCAGAGAGAAAUUCUCCUAGAGAGAAAAUUCAGUGAGCCACAUAUGUUGUAAACACUAAAGUUGUAGCCAUAUCAUUUUAUAGUGAAAGGUUACUGCUGCUGCUCUCCGAAGACGUAGGCAUAGCCGAACCUCGUUAAAAGCUGUGUCUCAUCUAUUUUACGUGCAGCUCAAUAUCCGCAUAUAUUCCAGGUUAUUUUAUAACACGUUAUCAGCACGACCACUCGGCAGGAUGCGUCCACCAAGACCAUAAAGUACCGAAAUGGUCCACAUAAGGAAUUUAAUCUAAUUCGG